rnacentral:rRNA from 1 species
UUAAAUUGAAGAGUUUGAUCAUGUCUCAGAUUGAACGCUGGCGGCAGGCCUAACACAUGCAACUCGAACGGUAACAGGAAGCAGCGUUCUGCCUCGCCGCCGAGUGGUGGGCUGGCGGGCAGUGUCUGGGG